rnacentral:rRNA from 1 species
UAAUACUGGAUAGGCAAUUAUUCCUGUAAUGGUUUUUUGUUUAAAUGUUUUUUCGCCUAAGGAUGGGGUCUGCGGCCGAUUAGGUAGUUGGUCAGGUAAUGGCUUACCAAGCCUUUGAUCGGUACGGGUUGUGAGAGCAAGAGCCCGGAGAUGGAACCUGAGACAAGGUUCCAGGCCCUACGGGGUGCAGCAGGCGCGAAACCUCCGCAAUGUGAGAAAUCGCGACGGGGGGAUCCCAAGUGCCAUUCUUAACGGGAUGGCUUUUCAUUAGUGUAAAGAGCUUUUGGAAUAAGAGCUGGGCAAGACCGGUGCCAGCCGCCGCGGUAACACCGGCAGCUCUAGUGGUAGCAGUUUUUAUUGGGCCUAAAGCGUCCGUAGCCGGUUUAAUAAGUCUCUGGUGAAAUCCUGCAGCUUAACUGUGGGAAUUGCUGGAGAUACUAUUAGACUUGAGAUCGGGAGAGGUUAGAGGUACUCCCAGGGUAGAGGUGAAAUUCUGUAAUCCUGGGAGGACCGCCUGUUGCGAAGGCGUCUGACUGGAACGAUUCUGACGGUGAGGGACGAAAGCUAGGGGCGCGAACCGGAUUAGAUACCCGGGUAGUCCUAGCUGUAAACGAUGCGGACUUGGUGUUG